rnacentral:rRNA from 1 species
AGCUGGCUGGUGCCAUGAGGUGACUUCUGCCCAGUGCUCUGAUUGUCAAUGCCAAGAGAUUGAGUCAAGCGCGGGUAAACGGCGGGAGUAACUAUGACUCUCUUAAGGUAGCCAAAUGCCUCGUCAACCAAUUAUUGACGCGCAUGAAUGGAUCAACGAGAUUCCUGCUGUCCCUAGUUGCUGUCUGGUGAACCAACAACCAAGGGAACGGGCUUGGAUGUGUCAGCGGGGAAAGAAGACCCUGUUGAGUUUGACUCUAGUUUGAUGCUGUGCAACAACAUGUUGGGUGUAGUCACAGGUGGGAGGCUCAAGCCACCCCGGCAUGGGCCAGCAGUGAAAUACCACUACCAUCACCGUUGUUUUACUCAUUGAGUGAUCUGGGAACGGUGGCCCACUGUGAAGUGCCUUGGCUCUGAGGGCUCUGUCCCCCACAUGCCAUGAUGGCCUUCACCGCUUCCUGUGACAAGUGCUUGGCACCCUUGUGGUGUCAGCAUGACCCUGGAGCCACAAUCCUGGAAACAGGCCUUGAGACAUUGAUCAGUUGGGGAGUUUGGCUGGGGCGGCACGCCCGUUACAAAACAACGCAGGCGUCCCAAAGCAUGGCUCAGAUGGAACAGAAAUCUCUCGGAGAGGAGAAGGCCAAAGUGCCCUGCUGAGGCUGCGAUCUUCAGUACAGAUCCAAAACAUGCAAGUGUGGCUUAGCGAUCCUUUGGUCAAUCUUCAGAGUUUCGGAUAUCAAAGCCAGAGGUGUCAGAAAAAUUACCACAGGGAUAACUGGCUUGUGGUCGCCAAGAGUUCAAAUCGACGUGACUUUUUGAUCCUUCGAUGUCGGCUCUUCCUAGCUUCCCACCCGCAGCUGAGUGGAAGAGUUGGAUUGUUCACCCACCGACAGGGAACGUGAGCUGG